UACGGAGGGUGCGAGCGUUGUCCGGAAUCACUGGGCGUAAAGGGUGCGUAGGCGGGUCUUUAAGUCAGGGGUGAAAUCCUGGAGCUCAACUCCAGAACUGCCUUUGAUACCGAAGAUCUUGAGUUCGGGAGAGGUGAGUGGAACUGCGAGUGUAGAGGUGAAAUUCGUAGAUAUUCGCAAGAACACCAGUGGCGAAGGCGGCUCACUGGCCCGAUACUGACGCUGGGGCACGAAAGCGUGGGGAGCAAACAGG
rnacentral:rRNA from 1 species